UCCCGCCAUUUUGUGUCGGGUGAUUCGGGGGCGUUUGUAUGGAAACGUUUGGGCAAAUCUGGGGACAGCGGGAGACCUCUGCGGGGAUUUGGGAACCUUUUUGUGGAAAUGUGUGGAAUUACGUGUUAUUUUCUUCGUUUGCUCGUUUGAAAACGGGUCAUUCUGUGUGGUGAUAAAGGACUUGUUUGGAAAACAUGGUGACCUUGUGUGGAAAACUGGUGAAUUGGUUACGGUUUGUGGAACUGUGUGUGGAAAUAUGCUAAUUUUGUGUGUGGAAAAUGGUGUGGUAAUUUUAGCAUGAAAUGGGAGCUUUUUUAUGUGACGUGUGUGUUGUGCAACCUGUGGAAAAUUGUGUGGUGAUUGGGUAAAUGUCAGGAAAUAUGGUUAUUACGUGUGAGGUGAAUGGUGUGGGAAUUUGAAAACCUGUUUUGAGGGCACGUGAUGGUUUUUGUGUGGAAAACGGGUCAUUUUGUGUGGUGACGGGAGACCUCUCCAUGGGGAUGCGCUGGGCCGGCCCGUACGGGUCGUCUCGUCCACGGCUCUGCAGUCGACGGUGCGCGCGAUUUCUCUCACGUGAAAGUGUCUAACGCGGGUCUGCCGCUCUCGCAGGCGCCUCCUCGUGCCCCGUCCUGGAGCCGGCAGUGACAGGAGCAGGACUUGGAAACAUCCAAGGCUCCAUGGGUGAAGGCUUGUCCUUGUGCACCUGUCCUUGGAACCAGCUUAUUGCUGAGGAGGUGGAACGUGACAAUCAGCACCAGAAGUCAUGGGGUAGAAGGGUCUCUGACACCUGACGCAUCUGCAACCAGGUCUCUGUGCGGACUGUUCAGAAAUGGGCAUUUGGGGCCUGCACCAGUCUCCUGGAAACAGCUGAGCCAGCCCCUCCAGCAGCUGACAGGUAUUGGCAAACACCUGUGUCCUGGUAGAAGGCUGUCACCACUACAACUCCUUUUGAAGCACAUACAUGUAGCCUCAGGACCACUGGACUGAAGUCUGGCUGUGUUUGGAAUGACUGCAUGCUGCUGUGGGGCUUUAACGAGCUAUAGAAGAGAUCAGAAAGGAAACAACUCAGGUGGUUAUUUCUCCCUGUUGUGUAACCUAACCCAGCACGCCAGCUGCUCUCCUGGAAACUGGUUGAAACUAGACACAACCUACUUCCAAGAGGAAACCGUCAGAAAUCAGGUGAGGGACUGCAAUAUUAGAGCACAGAUAAAGCAUUUUUUUGAGACAGAGAAACCACUUCCGUUCUGAGCUUAAAGUCCUUAUGCUUAAGGAAAGUUUAAAAAGUGGUUUCAGAGGCCUGGCCUGGGGAAAAAACUGAAUUAGGUUGCUAAAGAACCACAGGCUGAACACAGACCUUGCCUUUGUGGUCCAUUGUUAUGUAGGUGAUGUCCCCCAGUUUCUAUACUGUGCUGGUGAUACCAGCCUUCUUGAAUGGACUUGCUCUUGUAUUUAUGCUUUCUUCUGCAUUUCACCUGCCAGCUACCUAGCAAUGUCUCUCAUACGCUAUGUAUCUUCAAACUGGAGUUCAGUGCAGGCCCUUGUGCCAUGCUCUAAGCUCUCGCUGUCGGCUGUUUCUGAGGGACCUAGAGAUGGCAACAUUAUCCCCAGAACCUUACCUUUCUCUUUCCCGGCUCCACCGCCAGCAGUGGAUUUAGAAAUUCAUUUAGAAAUGGGGGCGCAGACCGUGAGGUGCAGCAUCUCAUUGAAAACAACCCACAUUUUCCUCCAGGUAAAUAUCCGCCGGAAGCUUUAUUAAGACGUUGGGGGGAGGGCUAGGGCUAUAUCAUUUAGGAUAAGCUAGAAGCAAAAACCAAGACAUGUCAGUGGAAGAAGUUGAAAGCCAUGCGCAGGCCGUGGAAACAGGAGCUCCAGGCCCAGGUGCACAACAGGCCGCAGACCCACACACGCAGGCCGGCUCCAGAGCACCAAGACCGUGAGAAGAGCAGGCCCUUUGCAGCGGCAGCAGGAGCAGUGAGAGGGGUCUGGGCGAUGUGAACUAUGACACCCAGAAAUGCUGCCACUGUGGCCUAGCAGGAAUAGCAGCGGGGGGCUGAGGGCCCAGGCCUGGACCUUCCUCUUCCACUGCUGCUGCAGUGCAAGAGAUGGCCCACACAAGCCCUUAUCUGGGUCGCGGGAGGCGGGAUCU